CAAUACUGAACAACGCAUAAAUGCCCCCCAAAAUUCGGUGUCACAAGUGCAUGAGCAUCAAUUAGGGAGUGAGAUAAAAUAUAGUUUCUGUCCGGAAUACAAAUUAGACAGGAAAUAUAUACAUGACUCUGAAGAAGACUCUGCUGGCAGCGGAUCGUAACAUAUGAUGCAACUCACCUAAGUCCCCGUAUCGACCACACCUCUGUGCCCAUAAGGUCACUAGACAUAUCUGCACCUGCACAAAAAUGUGCAGUAAGUAUAGUAUGAGUACGUAAAUCAACGCGUACCCAGUAAAUAUCCAGUCUAACCUCGAAGAAGUAGUGACGAGAGGUCGACUCCGACACUUACUAUGGGCUAACAAUAAAAUGCUGAUAUUAUGUUAAAGCAUGGAAUACAUAACAUAGCUGAAAAUUCAAUAAUCGAAAAUAAUCGACAAUUCUCUUUACUAAUAGAAAUACCCAAAUUCAUUUUUCAUCAUUUAACAAUUUAUAUCCCAAGUUAAUAAAGCAAUGUCAAUUAUUAUUAGUUCCAAAGAGUUAUCAUGCGCAAGUCAUGCCAAAGUCGUAUGGCACGAUCCAACAUACAAAUAUAAAUUGUGCACUACCGAGGGUCGAACGGCACGAACCAACAUACAAACAUAAAGUAUGCACUGCCAAGGGUCGAACGGUGUGAACCAUAGAUGCAUCUGUCACACCUCCUUUUUCUACACCCCGAAAGGGGUAUAAGAGAGUUUUUUCCAAUUUAAGAGACAAUCGAAAUGGAAUUAUUUAUUUAGAAAUCAGAGUCGCCACUUGGGAUAAUUUAUGGUGUCCCAAGUCACCGGUUCUAAAUUCCGAAUCAAGGAAAGAUUGACUCUGUUUUACAGUCCGUGAACACAGAAAUUCGGGUAAGGAAUUCUGUUAACCCGGGAGAAGGUGUUAGGCAUUCCAGGGUUCCGUGGUUCUAGCACAGUCGCUCAACUAUUAUUAUUGGUUUAUUUAUCUAAUUUUAAAAUAUUUUUAAACCUAUGUGCAUUUUAAAACGUUUAAACUGCUUUUAAUAAUCCAAUUAAUAUACAACUAAUUAUUUGAUCAUACAUUGUGAAUCAUGUCACGGGAAUCGUACCCAUGAUCCUCAACGUGUUUAUUUAUUUAACAAGAUUAAAUUGUGAUCGGGUCACAUAAAUGUACCGCAUAUUUUAGAAGUUAAGCAUCACAACUACGUCACGGGAACCGUACCCAUAGCUAUGACAAUUUAUUUAAUUAAGCGCGCCUGAAGCAAACUACGAGAGUUCAAGACAUUUUUUACACUAGUUAAGAUAUCGAUGUGAGGGCCAUAGAUUAGGUGAUUGGAUGGCACACCUCAAAUUUAUUAAAGGAAAAAACAUUCAACUAAGUGAACUACGGAUAUUCAUAUUUAAAACUAAUUUUGAGAUUAAGUAUCACAACCACGCCAUGGGAACCAUACCCGUAGUUGUGAUGAUUUAAUUACGUGCCUAAAAAUUUGCCUACCCACGUAGCUGGCCUAAACAUGCUACUAACAGAUCGAGCAAGUAAGAUAAAACAACUAAAAUGAUAAACGCGAUUUUUCCAUCAACCUUUUAACUACCCGAAUCAAUUCGAACCCAAUUCGUAUAUCAAGCAACGUAAUGCCACAUUAAUGUUCCAUAAGGUGUAGGGAUUUAUCCUUAAUUAAAAGUCCUUAAAACAGCUCAAACCAACAGGUCGAUAUAUGCUAUCAUUGAAUUCAAGAAAUUAACUUAACAUGUUCAAAGUUCAAACUAAUUUAUUCCAACCACAACAAGCAAUUAUCGAAGAAACGGUCAUUCCUAUAAACCAAAACUCACUGGAAAACAAGCAUUAGGAGAUAGGGAAUUUGACAAACCAAAUCAUAGUCUAGUUUUAAUAAUAAAAUCAAAUAUUAAACAAACCAAACCAUAUUCUCGUCGCAUGAUCAAACAGAAGAACAAUUGGAGUGGGAAAGAAAUGGACCUCAAAGCAGAACUUUGUCGUGACUAUGGAACAAGGCCUGGAUCGGGAAGUUGAACGGAGAUCUCGACGGAAAAACCUUCCAGCGACCUCGAGUCCUACUCGAAUAGGAGAGUAAUGAAGCACAAAGAGUAAACCAAAACUCUACGUCCAGAUCUUCUAUGGGGGAGGUCCUGCUAUGUUUCUAGGUAUGUGACAGGGUGGAGUUGUGGUCGUGUGUGAGGGUGAAGCUCGUCGGAGAUAGCAGACUCGUGGUGAACGGGGGCCUGGCUGUGAUUAUGGAGUUCCGGUGAUGGCUGCCUCUGUGCGUGUGCGUUUCUGAGGACGUCCGGUUGUGAGGUGAAGGAGCGGGUACAACCGCUAGUUUUCUCCGGCAGCGGCGCGGCUUUGGUAUUUUGGAGUCACCAGUUGAAGGUGAAGAAACUGGAACGGCUGGGGUUUGUCCAGCGGCGGACUGACGACGACUUGGGAGGGUUCGUCGCUAGGGUUUGUAAAGGGGUGAAGAAGAUGAAGGUCCUAGGGUUGGGGUCUCUAGGGUUGUUGUUGUAUGGAGAUGGAGAUAAGUCUUGGAGAUCUAGGGUUUUGGGUGUAGGAUCUUCAUGAAGAAGAUGAAGGAGCUUCUUUUUUGUGUAGGUCCCUUUUUAAAAUGAAAAAAA
rnacentral:lncRNA from 1 species